rnacentral:lncRNA from 1 species
CUCGCCUCAGUCAAGUUCUUCCACUAUACAGUUUGGAUCCUUACCACUAUUUUCAUUACCAAAGAUGUUUGCUUCCCCUUCUACAGCUAUAAGUCACUCCAAUAAUUGAGAGGACUAUUCUGAUGUUAUCAUUCAAAGUCUACCUUCUCCAUAUGAGACACCCCUUGAUUCACCUAUAGACAAUGAUGAUACUCCUGAAGAUACUGACACCACCAAUAAUUGUCCCCCCAUCAAUGUGCACC